UAUUGGUCAAUGGCCGGAAGGCUGAACCAGCCAUGCCGCGUGAAGGUCAGUGCCCUAUGGGCGUUAAACUUCUUUUGUGCGGGAGCAAUAAGGUCCACGUGUGGGCCGACGAGAGUACCGUACGAAUAAGCAUCGGCUAACUCCGUGCCAGCCGCCGCGGUAAUACGGGGGAUGCAAGCGUUAUCCGGAUUUAUUGGGUUUAAAGGGAGCGUAGGAGGGUUGUUAAGUCAGUUGUGAAAGUUUGCGGCUCAACCGUAAAAUUGCAGUUGAUACUGGCAUCCUUGAGUACAGUAGAGGUAGGCGGAAUUCGUGGUGUAGCGGUGAAAUGCUUAGAUAUCACGAAGAACUCCGAUUGCGAAGGCAGCCUGCUGGACUGUAACUGACGCUGAUGCUCGAAAGUGUGGGUAUCAAACAGG
rnacentral:rRNA from 1 species